GGGGCUGGCAGGAAGAGGUGCCUUCCAGAAGCAGCAACAGCAGCAGCAGCAGCAGCAGCAGCAGCAGCAGCAGCAGCAGCAGCAGCAGCAGCAGCAGCAUCUUUGAGGAGAGACUGAGACUUGGCAAAGGAAAAGAUUGGUAACACAUUGUAACAGGGAUGAAAGCACAGAUUACAUCAUCAUCCUAAACCUACAGCCUCACUUUUGCCUCCAUUAUACCCGGACUACAUGCACAGUUGAACCCAGCUAGAUAGGAAGACUGUGUGCAGGUGAGUGGCGAAGGUCCCGCCCCCUUCACAGCUCCAUCUUUGAUGUCAAAACACAGAUGUGAUCACCUCUGUUGUCCACAUCACUUCUGUUUAUCCUGCUUAUCCCAGAUGUCACCCCAGCCAAGGUCCCUCCAGCUAUAUGGAUGUUAGUUCCAUGUUCCACCAUGGUGGGCCUGCAGGAGGAGGCCCAUCAUCUCCUAUUAUCGGACAGGCAUCAUGGAUCCAGGUCCUCAGUCCCAGGCCUUUCCUAAGCCUGUCUCCAAAAGCUGCACGGCCAAAGGGCAGAAGAGAAAACCCAGGUCUUCCAGCUCAGGAGCAGUUCCCCGCAUCCUGUUGUUCUGUGGUGUCACUGAGACAGCUCAGAGCCCUGCCAGGGAGCUCGAGAAGCCCCCUUUGUCAUCCUGAAUCUCUAGGAGUCUCUGGAAAAGCAGAGUGAAUGAGGUUGACAGUACCCAGUGGCCCCAUAGCAGGCGCCACGUGCAGGACCAUUGUGAUGUGUGUUUCGGGGUCCAGCUGUGGUUCCCAGUCCUCUGCUUCCUCACUCCCGGGGUGCCCAGAUGCCUUUGCACACCAAG
rnacentral:lncRNA from 1 species